UCAUUGUGGAUUUAUUUGGGUGGUCAGGGAAUCGUUCCUAAGGAGAUUGGCCUCCAAUGGAGCCUUGAACUUUAUGUAGGAGUUAUGGAAGGGUGAGAGGCACAAGGGCACUCCAGGUGAAAAGAACCAUGAGAGCAAAGGCAAUGGAAGCUGAAGGAGUCAUGCUUUGUCCUGUCAGGGGCAGAAUGUGUAUGUUCGUGGGGAGAGAGGAGUGAGCCACCAGCCUUACUGCGGUUGAUAGUUCACAGUGGAGAGUGGUAGAAAAAUAUGGUUGAUAAGGCCGUCUGGGGCCAGCCUGUGCAAGGCCUUGGAUUUCAGGACAAAGGGUUUGGACUUGAUCCUGGAGACAGUGGGAGCCAGAGAAGACUGGGGAAAGGGGUUGACUUGAUGAAAGAGUUCCUCAUUCACUAAAGAAAAGCACCAGCACAGCUCAUUUUUCUCCUUAGAAAACAAUCUCAGAAUUUAGCUUUAAAUGCACCCCCAACUCUGUGAAAAGCAUAUACCAGCCCCUGCACGGCUCCCAGGGGAAGUUCAUGAGUUCAGACUCAAAGCACAAGAUGUGUUUUAUUUGGCAUUUAAGCGUGUCUAUGGGUGAUGUGUGUCCUCAAAUGAGGACAGACUGAUAUGAUUAAAAAUUUCAUAUCGGUUAUUUUGACUCUCUCACGCCUUUGCCCUCCACUGUUUAGCCUCCGACUCCUUCACUUCUGGAUAUCCAGAGGAAAAUGGCUGUAAGAUCAGAGACUUUCUUAGUAGCAUGUGUGGUGUAGAUUCUCAGGUUAAGGACUCUGUAGGAAUUAACUGCUGCUUUCUCAAGCUUUCUAAGUCUCAUUUGGUCUUUAGAGUCUAGGAAUACCUCACAUCGCGUCUGGCACUUGGCAGGGAUGCAACUAGAACUAAUUGGUAACGAUGUUUAUGAUAGUACGGUUUGAAAUGCAAAUGGAAACCUACUUAAAUUUUACUAAACCUAAUUCACCUAUUUACGUAUUUCUUCUCUCCAUUCUUUCUCCCUUUCUUCCUGCUCACUGUUUCUUCAUUUCUCUUUCCUCCUUUUUCUUUUUACUUUCUAUCUCCUUGUAACUUUCUUUUUCCUUACAGGAACUGGGAAAGACAAGGGUGUGUGGGCGGCCAUGGCGUCCCUCCAAGGAAAGUGUGAGGCUUUGGGCAAAAUAGAUCUCUCAUUUCUUCCAAACAUAGGUCUAAUCUGAACUGUCUCCAGGCUCCAGUCUCCAAUCCAACUUCAGUGGUUUCAGUUGGACUCCAUGAGAAGGGACCCCAGGGAUGCUGUGUCGUUAGUCUUGUCUUGGAGAAAACCAGCUUUCUAUGCACCUACUUGUUUCACAGAUUGGGGCACCCACAUUCCCUUUCCUCACGUCAUUGGAUCCCAAGAGACUCUUCUGAGUGAAAUGCCUUGCUGAAGAGAAGCAGGACUUCAUUAAGAGUUUGAUUUAUCCCCAAAUGAUCUAUUGUUAUGCAUCAAACAUGUUUUCCCUACGAACCAGUUGGCAGGGAGCACACAGAUAAAUUACUACAAGAUGUAACCAGACAAGCUGUUGAAAAGGGAAAUGGCUCUCUGUGUGUGGAACUCAGGAGAGCACAUCUAUAAACAUGUGUUGGGAAAUCAAUUCAGUGUAACUUUGUUGGAAGGAAUGAGCUGCUGCCCCCAAACUACCAGCUUGCUGUGAUAGCUAACUGUUUUUUUGAGGUCAUUGUCCAUUGUCUCAGUGAUGGCUGGGGAAACCUGUAUCUGAAGGGAAGGAAGUCACUACCUCAUAAAGGAGGUCUGCAUUAGAUGCCUCUCCUACGGGCUCACAGCACUCCGUCUACUUCUCCUCUUAAUCGCUGUUGUUAAUUUCCUGUGCACUUUUCUCCAUGUUCCAUUUGAUCCCAAAUGUCAUGAUGGUAACACUGCAUCCACUGUGUUCAACAUGAACAGCAGCAGCAGCAAUUAAAACUCAUUACAUCGCUGACUGUGUGUCUCUCCUUGUGCGUGUUAUCUUGGCUAAUCUAUUUUAGCUAAUCUGUUUUAGCUAAUCUACA